GGAUCCAGACUUUGAUCCUGGCUCAGGAUGAACGCUAGCUACAGGCUUAACACAUGCAAGUCGAGGGGAAACGACAUCGAAAGCUUGCUUUUGAUGGGCGUCGACCGGCGCACGGGUGAGUAACGCGUAUCCAACCUGCCCACCACUUGGGGAUAACCUUGCGAAAGUAAGACUAAUACCCAAUGAUAUCUCUAGAAGACAUCUGAAAGAGAUUAAAGAUUUAUCGGUGAUGGAUGGGGAUGCGUCUGAUUAGCUUGUUGGCGGGGUAACGGCCCACCAAGGCUACGAUCAGUAGGGGUUCUGAGAGGAAGGUCCCCCACAUUGGAACUGAGACACGGUCCAAACUCCUACGGGAGGCAGCAGUGAGGAAUAUUGGUCAAUGGACGAGAGUCUGAACCAGCCAAGUAGCGUGCAGGAUGACGGCCCUAUGGGUUGUAAACUGCUUUUAUAAGGGAAUAAAGUGAGUCUCGUGAGGCUUUUUGCAUGUACCUUAUGAAUAAGGACCGGCUAAUUCCGUGCCAGCAGCCGCGGUAAUACGGAAGGUCCGGGCGUUAUCCGGAUUUAUUGGGUUUAAAGGGAGCGUAGGCCGGAGAUUAAGCGUGUUGUGAAAUGUAGACGCUCAACGUCUGCACUGCAGCGCGAACUGGUUUCCUUGAGUACGCACAAAGUGGGCGGAAUUCGUGGUGUAGCGGUGAAAUGCUUAGAUAUCACGAAGAACUCCGAUUGCGA
rnacentral:rRNA from 1 species